rnacentral:rRNA from 1 species
UACGUAGGGUGCAAGCGUUAAUCGGAAUUACUGGGCGUAAAGCGUGCGCAGGCGGUUAUGUAAGACAGGUGUGAAAUCCCAGGGCUUAACCUUGGAACUGCAUUUGUGACUGCAUAGCUAGAGUACGGUAGAGGGGGAUGGAAUUCCGCGUGUAGCAGUGAAAUGCGUAGAUAUGCGGAGGAACACCGAUGGCGAAGGCAAUCCCUGGACCUGUACUGACGC